UUGGCACUCUAAAGAGACUGCCGGUGUCAAACCGGAGGAAGGUGGGGAUGACGUCAAGUCCUCAUGGCCUUAUGACCAGGGCUACACACGUACUACAAUGGCCGGUACAAAGGGCAGCGACACAGCGAUGUGAAGCCAAUCCCGAAAAGCCGGUCUCAGUCCGGAUUGGAGUCUGCAACUCGACUCCAUGAAGUUGGAAUCGCUAGUAAUCGCGGAUCAGCACGCCGCGGUGAAUACGUUCCCGGGCCUU
rnacentral:rRNA from 1 species